UACGUAGGGUGCGAGCGUUAAUCGGAAUUACUGGGCGUAAAGUGUGCGCAGGCGGCCAAGCAAGUCGAGUGUGAAAGCCCCGGGCUUAACUUGGGAAUUGCGCUCGAAACUACUUUGCUGGAGUGUGGCAGAGGAAGGUGGAAUUCCACGUGUAGCGGUGAAAUGCGUAGAGACGUGGAGGAACACCAAUGGCGAAGGCAGCCUUCUGGGCCAACACUGACGCUCAUGCACGAAAGCGUGGGGAGCAAACAGG
rnacentral:rRNA from 1 species